rnacentral:tRNA from 1 species
GCCUUGGUGGUGAAAAGGUAGACACGCGAGAAUUUCAUACUCGUGCCAUCGAGCGUGGAGGUUCGACUCCUCUCCAAGGCA